rnacentral:lncRNA from 1 species
AUGAAUCCUUCACUCCUCCUGGCUGCCUUUUUCCUGGGAAUUGCCUCAGCUGCUCUAACACGUGACCACAGUUUAGACGCACAAUGGACCAAGUGGAAGGCAAAGCACAAGAGAUUAUAUGGCAUGAAUGAAGAAGGAUGGAGGAGAGCAGUGUGAGAGAACAUGAAGAUGACUGAGCAGCACAAUCAGGAAUACAGCCAAGGGAAACACAGCUUCACAAUGGCCAUGAACGCCUUUGGAGACAUGACCACUGAAGAAUUCAGGCAGGUGAUGAAUGGUUUUCAAUACCAGAAGCACAGGAAGGGGAAACAGUUCCAGGAACGCCUGCUUCUUGAGAUCCCCACAUCUGUGGACUGGAGAGAGAAAGGCUACGUGACUCCUGUGAAGGAUC